CCCAUGUAAUCCAACAAAUAAUAACAGAUCAAAGUAUAUCUAACAAGGGUAAACACAUCUCUCUGAGCGCCAACUUGUUCGUCAUCACCAUUAAUACACUUUUCCUGAUACCCCUUUGUCUCCUCUUACUUGUCCUGUCUUAUAUCUCUACCGAUCACAUACUUUAAGCCUACCUAGCCGUCCUUUGAUGUCUUCCUGCAGAUAGAUAUUUUUAAUUG